UCCGCUGUGGGGCGGGACCCAGGCCGCGACCCCGACCCCGAUCCAGGCCGCGACCCCAGCCCCGACCCCGACCCCGACCCAGGUCGCGACACCCCUGUGGGCCCACCGCUAUGGCCCGGCGAGUGCUCCUGACGGGGCCCCCAAGUAACCCCGCCCAGGUGUUCGCUUCCGGGGGACCGCGGGGGUCAGAGCCUCCACCUGGAAAACGUGAAUGCCGGGUGGACAGUACAUGGUGGAUAUGACUUCCUUCAAGCACUUGGCACUCCGGUCUUGAGGAAUAUAUUCCUCAACUGACUGUGGGUUUACCUCCUGAUAAAGCCAUCGUAAGUGGAAAGUCUGAUUUAUUUAUUUUAGAGAGAGAGCACGCACAAGUGGAGGGGGCAAAGGGAGAGGAAGAGAAACUGAGAGUCGGAGACUUAACCCACUGCACCACCCAGGCAGGUUCCAGCAGUGGCCCAGAGCACAGAGUGUGCAUCAUCAACGAGAUCGGGAAGAUGGAGCUCUGCAGUCAGCCUUUCAUCCAGGCUGUUCGUCAGACACUGGUCACCCCAGGGACUGUUGUCCUGGGCAUGAUCCCAAUACCGAAAGGAAAACCGCAGGCCCUCGUGGAAGAAAUCAGAAACAGAAACGACGUUCAGGUGUUCAGUGGAAGUUCUCUGAACCCUGUCUGAGAGCAGCCCGUGCACCCAGCACUUCAUCCAAGGCACCGCAGAAGCAUAUUCUCUUCCCUCAAGAGACAUAGGUGAUGUGACAUCAACAUCCAGAAGCAGAGAAGAGAGAGAACUCUGUGGGGAGAGGUGGCCCCGGCCACAUGGUUCCUGGAUGGGUUUUUAAGGAGGAAGUGGAGAAAAGAAGGAAGAACAUAGCGGGUGAGGAAGUAAGUUCUGUAGCAUGGGGAGGGCCGCCUCCCCGUGCUGACAACCGAGCAUGUUAGGACAUGGUCAUGGGACUGAACUCAAGAGGGAAAGGAUUCCACUGAGGUACUCCUGUUACCUAGACUUACUGAUAGCAUCGGUAAACAGCACUCCUUUUCAGAAAAAAAACCCUCUGAACGCUUCCUGUUCCACAUAAGGUGGAAUAGAUACACUUUCCCUAUCCUUCCUCUCAAACGGAGCUGAAAACCUUGGACAUUACAUAUAAACCAAACAUCAGGAGACCUGGAGGGUGGAAAGAAAAAGGCACACUGGCUGGGAAGUGCAGCCAGAGGACAACACAGCAGACACAACUGAACAUCGCCUGUCCUACCAAGCACCAGGACAAGCAACUGGAACAGAACAAACAUCAGCACAUGCUGACAGUAAGGAGAUGGAGAUGUUGGAAUUAUAGGAUGGGGAUCCUGAAACAGCCGUGAUGAAAUGCUUCAGUGAUCAGUUACAAAGAUGCUGGAAACAAGUGAAAAUAGGAAGUCUCAGUUUUAGCAAAGCUAUAGAAGACAUAAAAAUCAAAGAAAAACUUUAGAACUGUAACAUACAGUAACUGAAUGAGAAAGUCUGUGGAAGGACUCCUCAGGAGAAUGGAGAUAGACAAAGGGAAUAUUCGGUCAAGUUUGAAGGUAGAACAAUAGAAACUGCCUGACAAAGAGCAGACUUGGGGGAACCCCCCCCCCAAAAAAAAAGCCUCAGGGACUUUUGGUACUAUAAUAAAAGAUCUAACAUUCA